CAAGAUAGACGACGGAUGAUAUCUAUCGAUAACCAUGAACGAUGAGAUUGACUUGAUGGAUCUAGAUGAAGAUUUGAUGGACAUCUUCAUCUAGAUCCAUGAAAUCAAUCUCGUCGUCCAUGGUUAUGUUAUGUUUAAUAUUAACUACUCCGUUUCCUACUUUCUUG